AUACGUAGGGUGCAAGCGUUAAUCGGAAUUACUGGGCGUAAAGCGUGCGCAGGCGGUUUUGUAAGACAGUGGUGAAAUCCCCGGGCUCAACCUGGGAACUGCCAUUGUGACUGCAAGGCUGGAGUGCGGCAGAGGGGGAUGGAAUUCCGCGUGUAGCAGUGAAAUGCGUAGAUAUGCGGAGGAACACCGAUGGCGAAGGCAAUCCCCUGGGCCUGCACUGACGCUCAUGCACGAAAGCGUGGGGAGCAAACAGGAUUAGAUACCCUGGUAGUCCACGCCCUAAACGAUGUCAACUGGUUGUUGGGGAUUUAUUUUCUCAGUAACGAAGCUAACGCGUGAAGUGGACCGCCUGGGGAGUACGGCCGCAAGGUUAAAACUCAGAGGAAUUGACGGGG
rnacentral:rRNA from 1 species